rnacentral:rRNA from 1 species
UUUUGGACAAUGGGCGCAAGCCUGAUCCAGCAAUGCCGCGUGAGUGAAGAAGGCCUUCGGGUUGUAAGGCUCUUUUGUCAGGGAAGAAACGGUGAGCUCUAAUACAGUUUGCUAAUGACGGUACCUGAAGAAUAAGCACCGGCUAACUACGUGCCAGCAGCCGCGGUAAUACGUAGGGUGCAAGCGUUAAUCGGAAUUACUGGGCGUAAAGCGUGCGCAGGCGGUUAUGUAAGUCAGAUGUGAAAUCCCCGGGCUCAACCUGGGAAUGGCAUUUGAGACUGCAUGGCUAGAGUGUGUCAGAGGGGGGUAGAAUUCCACGUGUAGCAGUGAAAUGCGUAGAGAUGUGGAGGAAUACCGAUGGCGAAGGCAGCCCCCUGGGAUAACACUGACGCUCAUCACGAA